rnacentral:misc_RNA from 1 species
CAAAGACGAAAGUGUGGCACUGAAGCGCGUGGACAAUUACAGACAAGCUGAUUGAAAAGGAAAAAGAAACAUAUACUGUAUACUAUCGUUUAUACAAAUUCGAAUUUACAGUAUUUACAAUAUAUACAGUGUAUAUAAAAAGGACGAGAUGACAACUGCCGACAGAAGAUUACGGAGUCAAGUUCGCAAUCUCAGAGCGCAUUUCGAACGUAUGCUAGAUGAUCUGGACCGUGUUGAGGAGGAGCUGAAAGAAGGCGAAAAGAUGAAAAAGAAGCGUAAUAACCCAAAAAAAGGUUUAACGCCCAGGUUAAAAGCGUUAGCCUCGUAUUGCAUGUCGCCACAUACGAGCACUUUUCAUCAUUCCACUGAUAACGAUUCGGUCUUGACAUUCAAUUCAAAGACGGCACGAAGUUGUAGAAGAAAGAUUGAAGGCAAUUUACGAGAUGAGAUUCGAUCCGAUGAGGCGUACAAUGUGACUGAACUCAGUGCCAUCACCAGAGCGUCGUCUAGCAGAAAAUUUCAAAUGAGAUCAGAUAUUAGAAAAAGGCCAAAUUUAGGGCUUGCUUCCGUACGAUCGAGAAGGAGAUCGUCGGCGGUGGGCAAUUCGUCAAGAAAUAAGGAAAAUGAAUAUGGAAGAUCGAAAUCUUUUAAACCUUGCGCUAGUUCAACGAUGCUCGGCGAAAUAUAUGAAGAGGAAGGAGAAGAAGAGGAAGGAGAAGAAACAGUACAAGAAAAAACAAGGGAGAAGGAAAUAGACAACAGGCGACCCACAUUUUUAUCAGCAUCCCCACUGCCAGCAAACUCUUCAAUAACUCUGCAUCAGAUGGCGCAGCGAACGGUAUGUGGAGUUGAUGCCAUCUACCGACGUAAAGCGACAUCCAUCACCGGAUCUAGGUCCAAGCGUGGUGUGUUUGAAAAACUUUGAUUCUUCCGAUUCUUCCUUUUUCUACUUCCGCUUUCGAAACAGGUGCGAUUUGUAAUCUGCUAUUGUUUACAUUCGUCUCGCACGCGUUGUUUUUCUUAUUCCGUUACUUUUUUAAAGCUAAACUGAACAGCAUUUAAAACGUUAAUCCGUAUUUAUGUACAUUUAGU